rnacentral:lncRNA from 10 species
CUAAGAGAACGAGGCAAUCGAGUUCUUAUUUUUUCACAAAUGGUGCGGAUGUUAGAUAUACUUGCAGAAUAUUUGAAAUAUCGUCAAUUCCCCUUUCAACGGAACUGACAUGGUGAAAAAGUUUGUGGAGAAAAGUCAAAUCACUUGCUCAAGAUACCAAGUGAAUAAAAUACUCAUUUGCUGGCUGUUGACUAGAACCCAUGAUGCUUCACAUCAAUAAUUUUCAAACUUUAGUGUGCAUCAGAAUUAACUGGAUGGCCUUUGCUAAACACCUUCAGUAGGUCUGGGAGAUUAGAUGGAUCAAUAAAAGGAGAACUGAGGAAACAAGCUCUAGAUCAUUUUAAUGCUGAGGGAUCAGAGGAUUUUUGCUUUUUGCUGUCCACAAGAGCUGGAGGUCUAGGGAUUAAUUUAGCCUCUGCUGACACUGUUGUUAUAUUUGAUUCCGAUUGGAAUCCACAGAAUGA